rnacentral:rRNA from 1 species
GAUGGACGCUAGCGGCGCGCUUAACACAUGCAAGUCGAGCGGGAAAUUUUUAAUGGAUUCUUCGGAUGAAGCUAAAAUGGAGAGCGGCGGACGGGUGAGUAACGCGUGAAGAAUUUGCCCUUCAGACUGGGACAACUAAUCGAAAGGUUAGCUAAUACCGGAUAUUAUGAGACCUUGGCAGCAAGGACUUAUGAAAGCUAUAUGCGCUGGAGGAGAACUUUGCGUUCCAUUAGCUAGUUGGUAGGGUAAUGGCCUACCAAGGCGACGAUGGAUAGCCGGCCUGAGAGGGUGAACGGCCACAAGGGGACUGAGACACGGCCCUU